UUGACCUCGGAUCAGGUAGGAAUACCCGCUGAACUUAAGCAUAUCAAUAAGCGGAGGAAAAGAAACCAACAGGGAUUGCCUCAGUAACGGCGAGUGAAGCGGCAACAGCUCAAAUUUGAAAUCUGGCCUUUACGGUCCGAGUUGUAAUUUGUAGAGGAUGUUUUGGGCACCGCUCCGGGUUAAAUUUCUUGGAACAGAAUGUCAAAGAGGGUGAGAGUCCCGUCUUGGCCCGCGGUAGGACCUAUGUAAAACUCCUUCGACGAGUCGACUUGUUUGGGAAUGCAGGUCCAAAUGGGUGGUAAAUUUCAUCUAAAGCUAAAUAUUGGCCAGAGACCGAUAGCGCACAAGUAGAGUGAUCGAAAGAUGAAAAGCACUUUGAAAAGAGAGUUAAACAGUAUGUGAAAUUGUUGAAAGGGAAGCGCUGGCAACCAGACUCGAGCGCGGUGUUCCCCUUGGCUUCUGCCUUGGUUAUUUCACCGUGACCGGGCCAUCAUCAGUUUUGGGGGUUGGUUAAAGAUCUAGGGAAUGUAUCCUCUCUUUCGGGGGAGGACUUAUAGCCCUGGAUGUCAUGCAGCCUCCCGGGACUGAGGAACGCGCUUCGGCGAGGAUGAUGGCGUAAUGGUUGUCAGCGACCCGUCUUGAAACACGGACCAAGGAGUCUAACAUCUAUGCGAGUGUUCGGGUGUCAAACCCUUGCGCGGAAUGAAAGUGAACGGAGGUAGGAAGGCCUGAGCCUGCACUAUCGACCGAUCCUGAUGUCUUCGGAUGGAUUUGAGUAAGAGCAUAGCUGUUGGGACCCGAAAGAUGGUGAACUAUGCGUGAAUAGGGUGAAGCCAGAGGAAACUCUGGUGGAGGCUCGCAGCGGUUCUGACGUGCAAAUCGAUCGUCAAAUUUGCGUAUAGGGGCGAAAGACUAAUCGAACCAUUGGUAAAUCACUACUAGGUGGUUAAGAGUCAAGUGUGAAAAGCACUGGCUAGUCGUGGGUCCACGGCAAGGUCGUCAAAUUGCGGGAACACCCUAAAGCCUGAGGUACCGCCGAACCGUCCCGAAAGGGCGACCGGCACCACGGAGAGAUUUCGUGGGUAUGGUAACAAUCCAAAGGAUGGUCCAGGUCAAGUCCUGGGCCGCUGUAAUGGGCAAUCCGCAGCCAAGCCUGUUUCCCCCCGUGGUAUGGGGGGGAGAUUGGGUGCAGUUCAUCGACUAGAUGUCGACCGGGUUCUGGGCUUGUUCCCACAAGUCCAGGGCCUCAAGAUAUAGUCAGGCCCCCGGGGAGACCCGGGCGAGGGGAUGAAGUAGGGAGGAUUGGCCCCCGGUACCACGUCCACCAGACGUGACGGUCCUGCCUACCCGAAUCCCUUUGGCCGGUUCCAUUGGACCGGUGA
rnacentral:rRNA from 1 species